GGAGAUGUAGCUUAGCGGUAAGCGCACAAGAAGUAUGAUCUUCGGUUCGUGGUCCGUCAGUUCGAAUCUGACCAUCUCUA